UAGCUCAGUUGAUAGAGUGUGAGAUUCUUAAUCUCAGGGUUGAGGGUUCGAGUCCCAU
rnacentral:tRNA from 1 species